GCUGGUUACCAUGCAGGUAACCAUGAUUCUUGUUCAAUUUCCUUGCUCAGAUUGACUCCUAUUCCUUUCUGAAAAAGAACUGAUGCCAAAACCACAGGAAUAAAUCUCUUAGGGGAGGACAGCAGCUUGGUUUGGCCAUUGUCUGGCUGACAGCGGAGCCAAAGCCUUCAGGGCUAAGCUAGUACACAGAGUAGAUCUGGAGGAAUUUCCGCGCUGGAGCAGACCCAAAGUCCAUCUAGAGAACAGCUCUGUACAAUUGGCAUACGGUGAUGAGUGAAACUGGAGCUUCAGCAAGUUUGUCCGAGACGGAGAACCAGUCUCAAUGUCUUCCUGAAAAGGACUGCUUUUGCUCAGCUCCCUUUGCUGCAGCGCCACCUCCCUUGUUCUGAUCCGAUAAAAGUCUUCUGUCUGUACCAUAAAAACCUGGAAUCCUGCGGAAAUGCUGAACGCAAAGCACUUAAAACUGCGCACGUGUACCCAAGUCGGAGGAGUAGAACAUGGUUACUAACAGCCAGCCACGCUACAGUCAUUGAAAGGUGUUUUGACAAGAGGUUUGCUAUAUCACUGAUAUGAUAAACAAUGAGGAACUGAGCUUCCCAGCCUCAGACACGCCAAUCCCCAGAAUCCUAAACUGUUGGUAGCACCACCAACAAUACAGGGGAAAACAAAGAUUGUUCCAAUAGGUGUAUGUUUACUUUUUCUUUAACUUCAGUUGGUUUUAUUUCUGCACCCAACCUGUUUGAUGGGUGGGAAUUUUAUGAUCCAUCAGGAAGAAUCCAUUUGACAGUACUUUCUAGGAGCACUGCUUUUGUUUUCUUAUUUUGAUCAUGAUCCUGCAAAGCCUUUC
rnacentral:lncRNA from 1 species